rnacentral:rRNA from 1 species
CGGUGAUAGUGAUAUCAUAGUGGCGCACGGGUGUGUAACACGUAUGCAACCUACCUUAUACUUAGGGAUAGCCUUUGGAAACGGAGAUUAAUACCUAAUGGUACAUUGAUUUGGCAUCGGAUUAAUGUUAAAGAUUUAUUGGUAUAAGAUGGGCAUGCGUCCAAUUAGUUAGUUGGUGAGGUAAUGGCUCACCAAGACGAUGAUUGGUAGGGGAACUGAGAGGUUAAUCCCCCACACUGGCACUGAGAUACGGGCCAGACUCCUACGGGAGGCAGCAGUAGGGAAUAUUGGGCAAUGGAGGGAACUCUGACCCAGCCAUGCCGCGUGCAGGAUGAAGGCGUUAUGCGUUGUAAACUGCUUUUAUAUAGGAAGAAAUAGUCCUUGCGAGGAAAGUUGACGGUACUAUAUGAAUAAGCACCGGCUAACUCCGUGCCAGCAGCCGCGGUAAUACGGAGGGUGCAAGCGUUGUCCGGAUUUAUUGGGUUUAAAGGGUGCGUAGGCGGUUUAUUAAGUCAGUGGUGAAAGACGGUCGCUCAACGAUUGCAGUGCCAUUGAUACUGGUAGACUUGAGUAUGAUUGAGGUAGCUGGAAUGGAUAGUGUAGCGGUGAAAUGCAUAGAUAUUAUCCAGAACACCAAUUGCGUAGGCAAGUUACUAAGUCAUAACUGACGCUGAGGCACGAAAGUGUGGGUAUCAAACAGGAUUAGAUACCCUGGUAGUCCACACUGUAAACGAUGAUAACUAACUGUUGGCUUUCGGGUCAGUGGUACAGAGA